AUUCCAGUUUCAAUAGUAUAUAUUAAAGUUUUUGCAGUUAAAAAGCUCGUAGUUGGAUUUCUGGUCGAGUGUAUCCAGGCCAGCAUGAUGUUUGGUCCUGGGCACUCUACUUUCCUUCUGUCAAACUUCGCCUCUUUUAUUCGUGGCACUGGGGCUCAGAUAUUUUACCUUGAGAAAAUUAAAGUGUUUCAGGCAGGCUUUCGCCGGAAUACAUUAGUAUGGAAUAAUGGAAAAUUAUUUCAACCUCUUCUAUUUUUCUAAGAGGCUGUAGUAAUGAUUAAUUUGGAUAGUUGGGGACAUUAGUACUUAACUGUUAGAGGUAAAAUUCUCAGAUUUGUUAAAAACUAACUUAUGCGAAAGCAUUUGCCAAGGAAGUUUUCAUUA
rnacentral:rRNA from 1 species